CCUUCGAUAGCUCAUUUAGGAGAGUGGAGAACUGAUGAAACAAUGCUGUUAUACUUAGAUCGCUGGCUUGAAUCCGACUCGAAGGA